rnacentral:rRNA from 1 species
AGUAUAAUUUUCUCGAAUUGAGGAGAGCUAUAAUUUUAUAAAUUUAAUUGUAUUAAAUAUUUUUAUAAUAAAAUUAUAGUGAUGAAAUGUUAGUCGUUCCUUAGAAUAUCUAGUUACUAGAGAAAUAAAUUUAAUUUAGUUUUUUUUAUUCAUGAGUUAAUUUUAUAAUGAAGUGUUAAGAGAAAGUAAUAUUCUAAGGGAUAAGCUUUAGAAUAAAAUAUUAAAAAUAAGGUUUGUUUAAUUGAAAAUUUGUAGGAUUGGAAAUGUUUGUCAUUAGUUUGUUAUAAUUAAUUUUCUUUUUAAUAAGAUUUAUAUAAAAUUUAAAUGUUUUAUUUAGAGUAUAUAUUUAAUAUUUAUUUAUAUGGGAUAAUGAUAAAAUUAGUAUAAUGUAUUGUAUAAAAUAAUUUAGGAUAAAGGUUAGGGUAAGGAACUCGGCAAAUCUAUUUUCUGCCUGUUUAUUAAAAACAUGUCUUUUUGAGUAUAAUUUAAAGUCUAACCUGCCCAAUGAGGAGUUAAAUGGCCGCGGUAAUUUGACCGUGCAAAGGUAGCAUAAUCAUUAGUUUUUUAAUUGAAAGCUGGAAUGAAUGGUUGGACAAGAAAAUGGCUGUCUCACUUUAAUUGAAAAAUAGAAUUUUAUUUGUAAGUUAGAAAGCUUACAUGAUUUUAAAAGACGAGAAGACCCUAUAGAAUUUAAUAUUUGGUUUGGUAUGAAAUUAUUGGUAGUUUAAACUUUUUAUUAAACUAAUUAUUUAGUUGGGGCGAUUGAAAAAUUAAAUUAACUUUUUUUUAUUAAUUUCAUUAAUUUAUGUUUAGUUGAUCCGUUAUUUACGAUUAUAAGAUAAAAUUACCUUAGGGAUAACAGCGUAAUUUUUCUUUAGAGUUCAUAUCGAAAGAAGAGUUUGCGACCUCGAUGUUGGAUUAAAAUUAACUUUUGGUGCAGGAGCUAAAAAGUUAGGUCUGUUCGACCUUU